rnacentral:rRNA from 1 species
GACGAACGCUGGCGGCGUGCUUAACACAUGCAAGUCGAACGGAAAGGCCCUGCUUUUGUGGGGUGCUCGAGUGGCGAACGGGUGAGUAACACGUGAGUAGCCUGCCCUUGACUUUGGGAUAACUUCAGGAAACUGGGGCUAAUACCGGAUAUGAGCUCCUGCUGCAUGGUGGGGGUUGGAAAGUUUCGGCGGUUGGGGAUGGACUCGCGGCUUAUCAGCUUGUUGGUGGGGUAGUGGCUUACCAAGGCUUUGACGGGUAGCCGGCUUGGGAGGGGGACCGGGCACAUGGGGCUUAAGGAAGGCCCAGGAGGGGAACGGGGGCAAGGGGGGGGAAGUAUGGCCAAAGGGGCGGAGGGGGGGGAGAAAGGCCCCGGGUGGGGAAAACCGGCUUGGGGGGAAUAAACCGGUUGGGGGUGGAACGAGGGGGGAGUGACGGUAACGGAAAAAGAAGCACCGGCUAACUACGUG